GCACGUGUGGCCAAGUGGUAAGGCGCAGCACUCGUAAGGGAUUAUGCUGAGAUCGAGGGUUCAAAUCCCUUCAUGUGCA